rnacentral:rRNA from 1 species
UACGUAGGGAGCUAGCGUUGUUCGGAAUUACUGGGCGUAAAGCGCACGUAGGCGGCUACUCAAGUCGGGGGUGAAAGCCCGGGGCUCAACCCCGGAACUGCCCUCGAAACUAGGUGGCUAGAAUCUUGGAGAGGUCAGUGGAAUUCCGAGUGUAGAGGUGAAAUUCGUAGAUAUUCGGAAGAACACCAGUGGCGAAGGCGACUGACUGGACAAGUAUUGACGCUGAGGUGCGAAAGCGUGGGGAGCAAACAGG